GCAUACACAUUCCAGCCAAUCAGCAGCAGACCCUCCCUCCCAGACCCUUCCACCUCCUGGACAGCAUCCAUUGUGAAGCUGUAUUCUUAGUGAGCUGUCCAGGAGGUGGGAGGGUCUGGGAGGGAGGGUCUGCUGCUGAUUGGCGGGAAUGUGUCUG
rnacentral:miRNA from 1 species